rnacentral:rRNA from 1 species
AACGAACGCUGGCGGCAUGCCUAACACAUGCAAGUCGAACGAGACCUUCGGGUCUAGUGGCGCACGGGUGCGUAACGCGUGGGAACCUGCCCUUAGGUUCGGAAUAACUCCCCGAAAGGGGUGCUAAUACCGGAUAAUGUCUUCGGACCAAAGAUUUAUCGCCUUUGGAUGGGGCCGCGUUGGAUUAGCGAGUUGGUAGGGUAAAAGCCUACCAAGGCGACGAUGCAGAGCUGGUCGGUGAGGAUGCUCAGCCACACUGGGACUGAGACACGGCCCACACUCCUACGGGAGGGAGCAGUGUGGUAUAUUGUACAAUGGGCGAAAGCCUGGUCCAGCAAUGCCGCGUGAGUGAUGAAGGCCGUAGUGUUGUAAAGCUCUUUUACCCGGGAUGAGAAUGACAGUACCGGGAGAAUAAGCACCGGCUAACUCCGUG